rnacentral:rRNA from 1 species
CCUACGGGGGGCUGCAGUGGGGAAUAUUGGACAAUGGGGGCAACCCUGAUCCAGCCAUGCCGCGUGUGUGAAGAAGGCCCUCGGGUUGUAAAGCACUUUCAGUGAGGAAGAACGCCUGGUGGUUAAUACCCAUUAGGAAAGACAUCACUCACAGAAGAAGCACCGGCUAACUCCGUGCCAGCAGCCGCGGUAAUACGGAGGGUGCGAGCGUUAAUCGGAAUUACUGGGCGUAAAGCGCGCGUAGGUGGCUUGAUAAGCCGGUUGUGAAAGCCCCGGGCUCAACCUGGGAACGGCAUCCGGAACUGUCAAGCUAGAGUGCAGGAGAGGAAGGUAGAAUUCCCGGUGUAGCGGUGAAAUGCGUAGAGAUCGGGAGGAAUACCAGUGGCGAAGGCGGCCUUCUGGACUGACACUGACACUGAGGUGCGAAAGCGUGGGUAGCAAACAGGAUUAGAUACCCUGGUAGUC